GUUAGGGCAGCGGGCCAAGACACAAGCGGUGUUUUUUGGUGCGGAUCCAAGAUUCAUAAUAGGAUUACAUAACAGGAUAACUCUGUGAAGCCCCUGUGACAGACUGCCGACCCGUCCAGGAUGUACCCGGGCGCUCGCCAAGUGUCACGGGGCCUUCCAGCAUGUGUACUUUGAAACAACACAUUUGGAGGGUCAGCUCGGCCUCGGAAGGAAAAACGCUUUUCUUGAUUCUUCAGUCCCUCUGGUGGCGUUCAACCUCGCAACAUUUUGGGGAGAUAGAGCUCGUGUUUGUGUGCGAAGUAUGGAGUCGGGGCGUAGUUGGUGUAGCUGCGCAUAAUGACUAUAGAGACGGGACAGAAGCUAUGAUCUGUGCAGAGUGAAAGACGUACACCUACAACAAGGCCACGAAUUAACAUCAGCUGAGCAAGAGAGUUCUGGUUGUGGUCUACUAAGAAGUGCCUUAGUACCAAACCUGCAAAUCUCACGAACGAGCCACUGAGAGGUGUGACGGAUUGUCAUCGCCGCGGCCCGUCGCGAACAUCUGGACGCCGGGGGCGCGGAGGGAGACAAUGGACGCUGUGCAGAGGUCAUGACCCCAGGUUCAGCUGAUGACAAACUGGAUCCUAAUGGUUUUUCUUCAUUUUUUUUAAAACAGAACUGGUAACACACAAGCUAUGUUUCUGGUACAGGACGAUUCUGUGUAGUUUUUAUGUUCCUUCCGAUAGUGUAUUUGAUUGGAAUUUUUUUUUCACAGCAGACGUUUUGACCUGUCAUAUGGCAGGAAGCACACGGGAGCAAUAAACAACAUUAUAAGUUGCAUAGAAAUGAUGACAUGUAAUUCACAAAUAGCAGAAUUUUGUUGAAAUGAAUUGAUUGAUAUAUAUAAGAAAACUGUAGCGAAUCUGCAACUAUUUUGAUAAUUAUUUAAUCUCAGUUCUAAAACAAAGGAGCCAAACAUCAACUGGCUCGAGUUCCUCAAAUGUAAAAGAUCUGCUGCUUUUUCUUUGAAUCAAUGAGAGUGAACUGAACAUUGAGAGGGCAUUGUAUGAACAAAAUAAUUAUUGAUAUUGAUUAUGAAGUUGUUUUGCGUUGACACGCUGCAUUUCUUUUGCGAUUACUUCAUAAUAAAAGUCAAGUGGCGCUUCA